AAACUGGUUCCCAUAUAAUCACAGAAGUUAAGCAACAUCAAGCUUGCACAGUAGCUUGAUGGCUGAUCACUUGGGAAUACCAGGUGCUGUAAG